rnacentral:lncRNA from 1 species
UUUUUUUUUUCUUUUUAAGGCUGCACCUGUGGCAUAUGGAAAUUCCCAGGCUAGGGGUAGAACUGGAGCUGCAGCUGCCAGCCUAUACCACAGCCACAGCAACACCAGAUCUGAGCCGCCUCUGUGACCUAUGCUGCAGCUUUCAGUAAUGUUGGUUCCUUAACCCACUGAGUGGGACCAAGGGUUGAACCCACAUCCUCAUGGAUACUAGUUGGGUUUGUUUCCACUGAACCACAAUGGGAACUCCCUCAAAAUAAUUUAAAAUAAAUGCACAGAUGCACAAAAUUCUAUCAUGGUUAUUUAACCAUUUCCUUAGGGACAGUCAAAUUGUUUCCAGUUUUGGGGAGCACAAGGCUUCAGUAAUCAUCCUUCACCAUCUCUCUUUUUAAAAGAAUAAUUGUUCACAGCUCUAUUCCAUUUUCUCAGAACGAAACUUGGCACAUGGAAGGUGUUCACUAAUCAUUUGUUGAAUGACUAAGCGAGUGAAGGGGCUCUGAUGCUGUCUUGCCAGCUGCGUGGAUCUUAGGCUGCUCAUUUGCUUUGCUAACUUGCCAGUGGGUGGGACCAUGGGUUCGGCGCAGCCCUUCUUAUUCUUUCUGCGUCCUCCUGCCAUUCACUUCUACCUGUGGCAGCCAGUCAGUGUUUCUUAUCACACUCACAGCUUCUUUUGUAUUUCCUUUAAAAAACAGCUUUGUUGAGAUAGAGUUCAUAUAUCAUACAGUUCACUCUAUUUGAAGUAAAGGAUUCUGUGGGUUUUCCACAUGUCCACAAGUAUGUGUAACCAUUAGCACACUUUUAGAGCAUUUUCAUCACCUCAAAAAGAAAUUCCAUAGCUUUUAUCUUUCAUCACCCCCAGCCCUCCUUUCCCUCCAUCUACCCUCACUCAGUCCUGAGAAACCACUAAUCUACUCUCUGGUUUGUCUCUGUAGAUGUUCCCAUUCUGAACAUUUUACAUGAAUCAAAUAAUACACUGUAUGCCCUUUUGUGAUCAACUCCUUCACGUGACACGUUUUCAAGGUUCAUCUAUGCUGAAGAGUGUAUGAGUACUUUAUUCCUUUCUGGACUGACUAAUAUUCCAUUGUAUGGAUAUACCUCAUUUUAUUUAUCAGGUGAUGGAUAUUUGAGUUGCUUCCACUUUUGGCCGUUAGGAAUAAUGUUGCUAUAAAAUUCGUGUACAUGUUUUUGUGUGAUUGUAUGUCUUUUUCUUUGGGGUAGAUACCUGGGAGUGAAAUUGCAGGGUUAUAUGGUAACUCUAUGUUUAAAUUUUAAGGGAACUGCCAGAUUGUUUUCUACAACACCAUGUUAUAGUCUCACCGUCAGUGCAUGAGGGUUCCAAUUCCUCCACAUCUCCUCCAACAUUUGUUGUUAUCCAAUUUUUUGAUUCUAACCAUCCUUGUAGGUGGAAUGUGAUAUCUAAUUAUGGUUUAGAUUUGCAUUUCCCUAAAGACUAAUAAUGUUCAUUGCCUUUUCAUGUGCUUAUUGGUCAUUUGUAAUCUUUCCUGGAAAAAUGUGAAUCCCCCCUCCCCAUUUUUUUGCUUUUUAGAGCCCCUCUUGCUACAUAUAGAAGUUCCCAGGCUAGGGGUCAUGUUGGAGCUGCAGCUGCCGGCCUAUGCCACAGCCAUAGCAACACCCAGAACCGAGCCACAUCUGUGACUUAAGCCACAGCUUGUGGCAACGCUGGAUCCUUGACCCACUGAGGGAGGCCAGGGAUCAAACCCACAUCUUCAUUGGAUAUUAGUCAGAUUCGUUUCCACUGUGCCACAACGGGAACUCCCUGAAUUGCCCCUAUUUUAAUUGUUAUUUGUCUUUUCAUUAUUGAGUUGUCAGUGUUGUUUAUAUGUUCUGGAUACUAGUCUCUAAGUGAAUAUGUUCAUUUUCCUUUUUACUGAAUUUCUUCAUAUGGUAUUUUCUCUCUUUCUUCAGCUGGCUCUGCUCUUGAGUAAGGUGCCCACAGGGCAAGCAGGGGAACAGGAGGAAGGACUCCCUGUGUAAUGGUGGGAAGUCUGAAUGGCUUCAGCUGGCAUUCAGGAGCUUGUAUGCAUCUCUCCUCGCCCAACAGGUCCCAUACCAGUAGAGCCAGAACUGGUCUUUUUCAAAAACCAUUUUAUUACAGAAGGCUGCUUUCUGAGGGUGGAUUAAUGUCCAAACCUCUUAGCUAAUUAGUGUGGAACACAAAUCACCCUUAUGUAAUUAGGCUUGACAAUCAAAUGAGAAGUCAAAGCAAAUGUUUCAACUGGGUGUCUGUCCCUUAGAAGCUUUAAGGCAGCUGGACAGGCUGUUUUGUGUCUUCUCUAGUACAGUGUUGAUAUAACUUCAUGUUAUGAGUAAUAUUUUCUAUUUUGCACCAUCAAUUCCUUCAUGGUAAAAUCCAAGGAUGCUUCAUAUAUUAAGAUUCUUUUCUCAAGGUCUAAAUGGAGAAUUAAUCUUGAAUGAUUGGAUUUUAUUCUAGAAAGAGGUAUUUGUGGAUUUCUGUGAUGGGAAAAGUCUGUAUUAGUUAAAAAGAAGUCAAGACUAAUUGGACUGAUUAGCGGGGUAACUGUUAAGUUGCAAAUGGAGAAAAUAAUAAUCACCACUCCCCCAAACCCCUCCCAGUCUUCCUUUGAAGUCCUCUUAAUAGAUGGACUUAAUAGAUGGGUUAUAUCUAAAUUGGUAUCUGAAGCUGUUACUCCAAGGACAUUCCUUUGGAUAGAUGCCUAGCAUUGGUCCUUUCAUGUAACCGUCUUUCAUUGCAAGAACAUAUUGUAUAAUGGCAAUUGGUGAAUGAAAAAUUUGGUUUGUAAUAAUCAGCUGUUCGGAAACUGAGAUAUUCAGUCUGUGACAUAUGAAUUUUUUUUUUUUUUUGUCUUUUUAGGGCUGCACCCUCAGCACAUGGAAGUUCCCAGGCUAGGGGUUGAAUUGGAGCUGCAGCUGCCAGGCUAAACCACAGCCAGAGCAACACCAGAUCUGAGCCAAAUCUGCAGCCUACACCACAGCUCACAGCAAUGCCGGAUCCUUAACCCACUGAGCAAGGCCAGGGAUCGAACCUGCAUCCUCAUGGAUAGUGGUCUGGUUCGUUACCGCUGAGCCACAAUGGGAACUCUAUGAAUAUUUGUUUUUAAUUGAUCUCGAUUUUAAAAUGACCACUCUAAAGAAGACUGGCCCACAAGAGAAUCUUUUUAAAAACUGAGAUAUAAUUAAAAUAUAAUAUUAUGUAAGUUUAAGGUGUACCAUGUGAUGAUACGAUACAUUUAUGUAUUGCGAUAUGAUGACCACUGUAAAACAUCCAUCACAUCAUUUUCUUUUGUGCUGAGAACAGUUAAGAUCUAGUCUCUUAGCAACUUUGAAGUUUGUCAGAAAACAUUGCUGUCUGUAGUGACCCUGCUACAUAUUAGAUUUCUAGGACUUAUUUAUCUACUACUAAAUGCUAGUUUGUAUCCUUACAUAGCAUCUCCUCAAUUCCCCAACUCCCAGCUCCCCCCCACCCCCGUAACCACUAUUCCCUGUUUUUAUGUGUUCUCCUCCUUGAAAUUCUACAUCUAAGUGAAAUCAUAGUCUUUGUCUUUCUCUGUCUGCCUUAUCUCAGUGUAACACUCACAACAGAGUCUUAAUAAGUAUCGAAGAUCAAAAACACUCCGUGAAGCCGAAUUGCCAAAUUCAGGCUGGCUGGCUGUAUGAGGGUGGCGUUGAUUGUGGGAAUGAAGGUUUUAGGGGAGUAGAACCCAAAGCCGCAAACAAGGCUCCCCAGGAUGGUGAUCAUGGAAGCGUGCACCUACCUGACUUUUCUGUGCAGCCCUCAGUGCAUUGCUCACAUCCCCACUGGUAUUUUCACUGUGGCUGGGAAAAAGCAUAGAUGUAGGAGUGAGACAGACCUGGGUCGUACAUCCCUCAUCAGCUGAAUGAUGCAGGACCAAGUUACCUGGUAUCUGAGACUCUACAGAGAUCACAGCCUAACUUAUCUCACAGGUUCAUUGCACAGAAUAAGUGGGAGUAUGCGAAUAAAGUGCCUCCUCCAGGAACUGGCCCACAGCAGGCAUUCUCCACUUGCUACUUUCCUUCUUCUUCCCUCUCUGCCUUCUGCUCCCUUUCCCUCCACCAGACUGUUCCUCCACAAUUUAGGCCAGUUUAGCACUUGGACUCUUUGGAGAGUCUGCUCGAUUCAGGGCCAAGGAGAGCGUGUCUUCAUGUCCGUCCUCAGAUCUGUGUGCAAAGUAGAGCUCCCUUCCAGUUCUCACUAGCUUUUUGGCAAAAUUAAUUGCAGUUCCCAUCUCCUAACUCCUUUCUUUGCAUGUGUCUUCUAAGUUAUUCUUUUAUUAAAAAACGAAGAUAUAAUUGACAUAUUAAUAUUACUUUCAGGUAUACAACAUAAUGAUUUGAUAUAUGAAUAUAUCAAAAUAUAUACAUCCGAAGAAGUUAAGUUAACAUCCCUCACCACACAGUUGCUUUUUCUUUUUUGUGGUGAGAACUUUUUAAAUUUUUUUGGCUGGGCCUGUGACGUGUCUUCUGCAGUGACAAUGCUGGAUCCUUAGCCUUCUAUGCCACAAGGGAACUCCUGUGAUGAGUGCUUUUAAGAUCUACUUGCUUAGCAACUUUCAAAAGUACAAUACAGUGUUAUUACCUAUAGUCACUUCCCAGUUAUUCUGGACCUCAGCUGUGAAUUCCAUCUGUCUUCUGUUCACCUUGUAGGUGUAUCACUUAAGAGGCAAGCUAGGGAGUUCCCGUCAUGGCUCAGUGGUUAACGAAUCCGACUAGGAACCAUGAGGUUGCGGGUUCGGUCCCUGCCUUUGUUCAAUGGGUUAACGAUCCGGCGUUGCCGUGAGCUGUGGUGUAGGUUGCAGACACGGCUUGGAUCCCGUGUUGCUGUGGCUCUGGCGUAGGCCAGUGGCUACAGCUCCGAUUCGACCCCUAGCCUGGGAACCUCCAUAUGCUGCGGGAGCUGCCCAA